UUUCCGUAGGUGAACCUGCGGAAGGAUCAUUACUGAGACUGGGUGCUUCGGCGCCCGACCUCCAACCCUUUGUCUACCUUACCACUGUUGCCUCGGCGGCUGCGAUCGAACCCCCUCACAGGGCGCCGAGAGCACCAAGCCGUCGACGGCCUACAACCAAAAACUCUUGUUUAAACACCGUUCAUCUGAGAAUAAAAACAAUAACUUCAAAACUAUUAACAACGGAUCUCUUGGUUCUG
rnacentral:misc_RNA from 1 species